rnacentral:lncRNA from 1 species
AAUAGCGUAAAUAAUUAUCUAAACAUAAGAAACAUAAAUACAAUCGCAUGCAAUAAUAUCAUACAGUAACUACCAUAACUAACAACCAUAGGGGGCACAUAAGCUAAAACACAAAUCAUCUAUGGGUGACCCUGCUGACCCACACCCAACCCCGGAUGAGGAGUACGAAAAAUUCUAGGAGCCCCUAUCCUACAACCCUGAUUCUAG